rnacentral:rRNA from 1 species
GAUUUCUGGCUUGGUGCGCGCCGUCCGCUACGGUUACGUAGUGUGUGCGGUUGUGCGCCUGCCAUCUUUCUAGACAGCAUGCUGCGCCCUUCACUGGGUGGCAGGUGUUGGCUGGAUCUUUUACUUUGAAAAAAUUAGAGUGUUUAAAGCAGGCUUACGCUGUGAAUACAUUAGCAUGGAAUAAUAAUUUAGGACUUCGGUCUCUAUUUUGUUGGUUUCUAGAGCUGAAGUAAUGAUUGAUAGGGAUAGUUGGGGGUGCUAGUAUUCAUCGGCCAGAGGUGAAAUUCUUGGAUUCGAUGAAGACUAACUUAUGCGAAAGCAUU